UACAGAGGUCUCAAGCGUUGCUCGGAAUCACUGGGCGUAAAGCGCGUGUAGGCGGUCCGGUAAGUCCGCUGUGAAAGUCGAGGGCUCAACCCUCGAAUGCCGGUGGAUACUGUCGGGCUUGAGUACGGGAGAGGCGAGUGGAAUUCCUGGUGUAGCGGUGAAAUGCGCAGAUAUCAGGAGGAACACAGAUUGCGAAGGCAGCUCGCUGGAACGUUACUGACGCUGAGACGCGAAAGCGUGGGGAGCAAACAGG
rnacentral:rRNA from 1 species